rnacentral:rRNA from 1 species
UAGGAUUCCCUCAGUAGCUGCGAGCGAACAGGGAUGAGCCCAGCACCGAAUCCCGCGGCCGACACCGGGCGCCGGGAAAUGUGGUGUUAGGGAGGGUCCGUUUAUCCCGAGGUCGUGCGGCGCGUCCAAGUCCUUCUUGAACGGGGCCACAGCCCAUAGAGGGUGCCAGGCCCGUAGUGACCGCUGCCGUCCGCGGGAGGAUCUCUCCUCAGAGUCGGGUUGCUUGAGAGUGCAGCCCUAAGUGGGUGGUAAACUCCAUCUAAGGCUAAAUAUGACCACGAGACCGAUAGCGAACAAGUACCGUGAGGGAAAGUUGAAAAGCACUUUGAAGAGAGAGUUCAAGAGUACGUGAAACCGUUCAGGGGUAAACCUGAGAAACCCGAAAGGUCGAAAGGGGAAAUUCAUUCGCGUUUCGGCCGUCGGCGUUGCGCGGACGCGUGACAAAUGGCGUUCGCGUCGUUUGCACCUUCCGUGUUUCGAACUGGCGUCGAACGCGUGCACUUUUCCCCAAGUAGGACGUCGCGAUCCGUUGGGUGCCGGUCUCACGGACCGCGGUGGAGCCCUUACGGACGGCUUGCCGUCUGUUAGGACCCGUGGAUUCCUGGCCGGCUCGCUCGACGGUAUACAGAUGGCGCAGGGCCGCGACUCAGUUCGCGUUCGGAUCGCGGUUUCGGCCGUGAUUUCUCGAACAGACCCUGUCGAAACGCCGAUCUGCGACGCUAUAGCUUUGGGUACUUUCAGGACCCGUCUUGAAACACGGACCAAGGAGUCUAGCAUGUGCGCGAGUCAUUGGGACACGACUAAACCUAAAGGCGCAAUGAAAGUGAAGGUUCGCCUUGCGCGAACCGAGGGAAGAUGGGUGGUUCGCCCUUAAAGUGGCCACUCCGCACUCCCGGGGCGUCUCGUUCUCAUCGCGAGAAGAGGCGCACCAAGAGCGUACACGCUGGGACCCGAAAGAUGGUGAACUAUGCCUGGUCAGGACGAAGUCAGGGGAAACCCUGAUGGAGGUCCGUAGCGAUUCUGACGUGCAAAUCGAUCGUCGGAACUGGGUAUAGGGGCGAAAGACUAAUCGAACCAUCUAGUAGCUGGUUCCCUCCGAAGUUUCCCUCAGGAUAGCUGGCGCUCGUAGCGCACGAGUCUCAUCCGGUAAAGCGAAUGAUUAGAGGCAUUGGGGUCGAAACGACCUCAACCUAUUCUCAAACUUUAAAUGGGUGAGAUCUCCGGCUUGCUCGAACUCUUGAAGCCGCGAGACACGGAUCAGAGUGCCAAGUGGGCCAUUUUUG